AUCCAGACUCCUACGGGAGGCAGCAGUGGGGGAUAUUGCACAAUGGGGGGAACCCUGAUGCAGCGACGCCGCGUGAGCGAUGAAGUAUUUCGGUAUGUAAAGCUCUCUCAGCAGGGAAGAAAAUGACGGUACCUGACUAAGAAGCCCCGGCUAACUACGUGCCAGCAGCCGCGGUAAUACGUAGGGGGCAAGCGUUAUCCGGAUUUACUGAGUGUAAAGGGAGCGUAGACGGCAGUGCAAGUCUGAAGUGAAAGGCGGGGGCCCAACCCCCGGACUGCUUUGGAAACUGUGCUGCUGGAGUGCAGGAGAGGCAGGUGGAAUUCCUAGUGUAGCGGUGAAAUGCGUAGAUAUUAGGAGGAACACCGGUGGCGAAGGCGGCCUGCUGGACUGUAACUGACGUUGAGGCUCGAAAGCGUGGGGAGCAAACAGGAUUAGAUACCCGUGUA
rnacentral:rRNA from 1 species